CUGUCCCUCCGUAGCGUCAGCAGCACAGACCCACUCUGUUGCCGAUAACCCGCCCCUGGCAGCGUCACGGGACACGGCCGCACAACGUGACCUACCGGAGGCGUCACCCGAAGUCUCAUUACCAACAUCUCAUUGUGAGUGAAAGUAGCAGUUCCUGCUGAAGGUCAGAGAUUGCAGCAUCUGAGGGCCUCUUCAAAAGAAGACGUAGUUGAUGAAGACGUUCUGGAGCAGGACCAGAACGACCACGACCAAGCAGCCUUGAGAUCUUAGGCAGUGUCUUCCUCAGACCAAAGAACUACAGACUCUUCACAACCUGCUCAAACUCUUGGUACAGGACCUCACCACACGGGUCAAGAAGGUUUCUGUCUCAUUUCUACUCUGAAGCUCACCUUCUCCUGCUCAAACUGCUGACAAAUGUUUCUGCUGCUCUAAAGUCUGGUCUCCAGAACUUCCUAAAAACUCUCAAAGUCUCUUCUGCUGCAGGUUGCUUUGUAGAACUGUUCCAGAAAACCUCACUAAACCACAUGGAGGGGCCUCAAGAUAGUCGUCCAAAUGAAACCGUACAAAAACCAAACUAGCACAACCCAAACGCUAAAGUCUCCUGCAGCCUACCAGAGAACCUCUGAGAACAGAGAAUCAGGACAGGAACUCUUACCUUCUGGACAACCAAUGUUGGUUCACAAACAGGAAUACAGAAUGUGUCUGACCAAAAACCUCUAAAGACUCACUACAGCCAAGAUAAAGACACAACUCAGCUGCAGCAAAUCCACUAAUCACUGCACACACUAGCACCAUGUGCUAACUGUGGCUGAAGAACCACAUUUACCAAGACAACUAUCCAGUACAAAGCCCUAAAACACACCAAGAAACACAUUAAAGACGAUUUUACUGCUGGAAGCUGCAAGCCAACGCCUAAAGAACAAACGAAAGCAACAGAGCCAAACCCAAAGAGAAGCAGAUGAAAUGUUUGUCUGCAGCUAAAUAAAGCAGGAAGACACUGAGCUGCUCAGGUGUUCCUGAUAACACCAAGCAGCCACCUGGACAGCCAAUAGGAACACAGCUUCCUGGAAGUCCAGAGGGCUGGCUUAGUGAAGGAAAUUUAGUUUAAAGUUGAAGCAGAAAGUUAACAAAGAAAGUUGAAAACCACCUUCUGAUCCCUGAAAUCUCUGAGUUUUCACACAAAGAACACCUGAACAUGUCAAACUGGUUCCAUAGUAGAACCAUCAUUGUAAAAACGUCAUAGUAUGGUGUGUUGCUCAAAAAACAUUAGGUCUAGGGUCGCCGAGGAGCAGCACAAAAACAGGACAAACGCUGGUUUCCAGGGGGUUAGGAGGCUGUUUAUUUGAAAGAGGAUGUUUACAACAACACAACAUGUGAGCAGAAAAAUCACAAAGUCUGUCUUUAGUUCAGCUGAAAAUAUUAGUUUUUUUCUUUUUUAUUGACCAAACUUUUCAGGAAGUAGAUGAAGAAUAAUUAAAGCUCUCAUGUAGAAGUCCAAUUUAUUUGGGAUUCUUGUGGAGAGUUUAAUCUUAGAGUUUGUAAAGCUGUUGAGCUUUUAGAGUCACAUGGAUUGUUUUGACAUUUAAUAACCGAGUCCUGAAAUAAAAUUACAGUUGUGGAUUUCUGUCGUUUAGUUUGGACUAAACAAAUAACAGCAGCAUAAAUCUCAAACGUAAUUAUGAGGACUUUAGUUUCUGAUUCUUUUGUUCAGACAUUAGGUAAAUGGAUAGAUGUUAUUUACCUUGCUUGACAGUUUCGGCGAACACUCGCCUUCCUCAGAAGCGUCUCACUGACAGCGUGACGUGGCAGCCGGCAGAUUUUGACAGCCGGCAUUUGCGCCACGCCCAAGUACAGUCGCCAGAUGCGCCGGGCCAACCACGCCCACACCGUAAUGGCAUGUCCUGGUGAGCCCAACGGACCCGACCAUCCCACCAGGCAUGCCGCAUCCCCCGCCGUCCUAUUUCCUCAGGAAAGGUAAAUAACAUCUAUCCAUUCACCUAAUGUCUGAACAAAAGAAUCAGAAACUAAAAGUAUCAACAAGAAGACAUGAUGAACGUUUUUGAGCUGUCAUUAUGAGGAGUCUGGAUUGAGGUUUCUCACUUGAUAAUGACCAAAACAUGAUUUAGGUUGGUUUAAAGGAAUAUUCCACCUUAAAUCUUUGAAUGUUGACCUGAAAGGUUGGUUUCAGGAAGUUUUCCACCUACAAGGUCCUCAAACAUCCACCUUAAAGGAACAUUCCACCAAAAAUCCUUGGACAUGCACCUAAAAUGUUGGUUUAACCGAGUAUUCCAUCCAAAAUCCUCAAAGAGACCUGAGGGCCUGGUUAAAAGGAAUAUUCCACUUAAAACCUCAAAUAUAGACCUGAAAGGGUGAUUUAGAAAAAAUCCUUCAACGUAGACCAAAAAAGUUAGUAUGGAGGAAUAUUCCACCUGAAAUGUAGACCUGAGAAGUUGGUUUGGAAGAAUAUACCAUCCUAAACAUCCUUAAAUUUAGACUAAAAGACGGUUUGGAAGAAAAUUCCACCUAAAAUCCUCCAAUGUAGACCUAAAAGGGGAGUUUAAUGGUAUAUUCCACCUAAAAUUCACUACUGUAGACCUUGGAGGUUGGUCUGAUGGUAUAUUCCACACAACAUCCUUGAAGAUAAACUUAAAAAGUUCAUUCAAAGGAAUAUUUCACCUAAAAUCUUUCAAUGUAGACCAAAAAAAAUCUUGGUUUAAAGGAGUAUUCCACCUUAAAUGUAGACCUAAAGGAUGGUUUGGAGUAAUAUUCUACUCUAAAAUCUUCCAAUGUAGACCUAAAAGGUUAGGAUAAAGGAUAAAAGGUUGAUCUGAUGGUAUAUUCUACCCAACAUCCUGGAACAUUUACCUAAAAGGUUGGUUUAAUGACAUAUUCCCAGAAGAACCCUUGAACAUUGGGCUUAAUGGUAUAUUCCACCCAAAAUACUUGUACAUAUACCAAGAAGUCAGUGUAAAGGAAAUGUAGACCUAAAAGGAUUGUUUAAAGGAACAUUUAAAUGAUCAUUUUCAUUAUUUAAUAAUCUGUUAUCAGUCAGAACCCUGGCAAACUUAUUUUCAUCAGUUUUUUUAGUUGAAGUCACAAAUAUAGGAGCUCUUGGUUUUUCCCGGCUUAGUGAGUCAAAAGCUGUUGUUUCAACACAGAACGUUCACAUGCAUCCACAAACCUCUCAGCACUCAAACAUCCACAGACAGGUGGCCGGCUGGACCGAGGCUCGGCGGCGUCCUCAGACCUUAUCUUAUCUGGAACAAUCUAACAGCCUAAACUGUUAACAGCAGAGUAAAGAAGCAAACACACAGGCAUAGAUUAGGACUCAAACUAGAUUUAUUUUAGAAAACAAAUCAGCUUAGAGGCAUUUGUUCACACAUGUGGCUGAAUAGGAGGCCGUCCAAUCAGAUUGGAGGUCUUCACUCUGUAGGUUGUUUGUUGGGUGAGACUCUUGGACCUCCAUCAGCUGACGUGGAUGUUUGAUGGUCUUCCUCUCUAGUGCCAGAUGAUUCAUCCAUGAAUUCAGCAGCUACAGACUGAAAUGAAGCUCAUGCUGCCGUUAUUGAAUUCCUGUUCCAGAUCAAAUGUUCAGAUCUCACCUUGAAUGCAGCCGUCUGCUGUCUGAUAGUUUUUCUCAUUGUAGUCUUCAAUAAAGUCUUUUUCCUCAUGUCA